rnacentral:rRNA from 1 species
AUAUUGCACAAUGGGCGAAANCCUGAUGCAGCUAUGCCGCGUGUAUGAAGAAGGCCUUAGGGUUGUAAAGUACUUUCAACAAGAAAGAAAAGAUAAAAUCUAAUAUAUUUUAUCAUUGACGUUACUUGUAAAAGAAGCACCGGCUAACUCCGUGCCAGCAGCCGCGGUAAUACGGAGGGUGCGAGCGUUAAUCGGAAUUACUGGGCGUAAAGAGCACGUAGGCGGUUAAUUAAGUCAGAUGUGAAAUCCCUAAGCUUAACUUAGGAACUGCAUUUGAAACUAAUUAGCUUGAGUUUCGUAGAGGGGGGUAGAAUUCCAGGUGUAGCGGUGAAAUGCGUAGAUAUCUGGAGGAAUACCAGUGGCGAAGGCGGCCCCCUGGACGAAUACUGACGCUCAGGUGCGAAAGCAUGGGGAGCAAACAGGAUUAGAUACCCUGGUAGUCCAUGCCGUAAACGAUGUCGACUUGGAGGUUGUAAGCUUGACUUAUAACUUUCGUAGCUAACGCGUUAAGUCGACCGCCUGGGGAGUACGACCGCAAGGUUAAAACUCAAAUGAAUUGACGGGGGCCCGCACAAGCGGUGGAGCAUGUGGUUUAAUUCGAUGCAACGCGAAAAACCUUACCUGGUCUUGACAUCCAUGAAAUUUAAUAGAGAUAUUUUAGUGCCUUCGGGAAUCAUGAGACAGGUGCUGCAUGGCUGUCGUCAGCUCGUGUUGUGAAAUGUUGGGUUAAGUCCCGCAACGAGCGCAACCCUUAUCCUUUGUUGCCAUCAGUUAGGCUGGGAACUCAAAGGAGACUGCCGGUGAUAAACCGGAGGAAGGUGAGGACGACGUCAAGUCAUCAUGGCCCUUACGACCAGGGCUACACACGUGCUACAAUGGUAUAUACAAAGGGAAGCAUCCUCGUAAGAGUAAGCGGAUCUCAUAAAAUAUAUCUUAGUUCGGAUUGGAGUCUGCAACUCGACUCUAUGAAGUCGGAAUCGCUAGUAAUCGUAGAUCAGAAUGCUACGGUGAAUACGUUCCCGGGCCUUGUACACACCGCCCGUCACACCAUGGAAGUGGGUUGUAAAAGAAGUAAGUNGCUUA